UCUCCAGGAGAGCUAUGAAAACAGGGAAGUGUUCAGAAGAGAAGCAUGAGGAAUGGCUGAAGUCUCUUGGUUUGUUCAUCCUGGGGAGGAGGAGGCUGAGGGGAGAUCUCAUCAUAGCAUACAGCUUCCUCACAACCACCAUGACUGUCAGUGCAACAGGGGCUCAGUGUGUGCCAGGAUGCUCAGAGCCUCAUUACCAGCGUGUCGACCUUCAACGAGGCCAAGCUGACCUCUCCAUCUCCCAUAGCUCUGUACAAGGGAAGGGUCUGUGAAAAUAUUUGCCCCUGCCAGAAGGCCUCACAGGACUUCUCAUGGGAUGGUUAGGGGAUGAACCAAAGGCCUGUAAACUGAUGACACAUCUCUACUACCCCUCUUCUGAUGGAACUCAGAAUACCGUUGGCAUCCCAGGCUGCAAGCACGCACUACUGGCUCAUCAGUUUUUCAUCUACCAGGACACCCAAGUCCUUCUCUGCAGGGAUAUUCUCUAAGAGUUAUUCUCCCAGCCUGUCCUCAUAUCUGGGAUUGCCCCGACACAGGUGCAACACUGCAAGCCAGCCACUGUGAUGAUAACAGGGAAGAACAACAAGUGUAAGAGCUGCAGGUGCAUAAGCAGGUGUUUGAAAGUGCGUGACUCAGUUUUCUUUUUCACUGAGAGGAUGAUGUGGCACUGGAGCAGGCUGCCCAGAG
rnacentral:lncRNA from 1 species